rnacentral:rRNA from 1 species
UACGUAGGGAGCAAGCGUUGUCCGGAAUCAUUGGGCGUAAAGCGCGCGUAGGUGGCUCUGUAAGUCCGUUGUGAAAGUCAAAGGCUCAACCUUUGAAAGCCGAUGGAUACUGCAGAGCUAGAGUCCGGAAGAGGCGAGUGGAAUUCCUGGUGUAGCGGUGGAAUGCGCAGAUAUCAGGAGGAACACCAAUAGCGAAGGCAGCUCACUGGGACGAUACUGACGCUGAGACGCGAAAGCGUGGGGAGCGAACAGG